rnacentral:lncRNA from 1 species
CCUAAGGAGGACUAAAGAUAUUUUUUUAAUAUUUGGAGGAGGAUUAGAGUUGAAACUAGAGGAAUAUAGAUUCUAGUUUUCAAUUUGACCUCAAUGAUAGCAAGUCAAUUUCAGAGUAUGUGUUUACCCUAAAUGGUGGAGUAGUGAAUUGAAAGAGUUCUAAGUAGUCGAUAGUAGCUAACUUAACCAUUUGAAGGAAUCAGAUCUAAGAUUUCAGGGUU